GUGCGAACCUGUUACACGAAGGCAGACUGCUGCCCCGAGGCCAGCCCGAGGCCGAGAAGAAGAAGAAGACCGCUGCCUCGAACGUCGUUUUUAUGACACUAUGGCAGGAACCAUUCAGUCGGUGAAGAACGUCAUGUUCAUAUUCAUGAGCGUCAACAUUUGGACUUUGAUAUCGUACAUUACCGGAAAGUACAGGCUUUCUGCACCUCCGAAAGGGUGGAUGUUUGACGUUGGAUUUGGCAUCGAAUGUAUUUUGAACAUCGCUGUGGGAAUCUACUCAAUGGCUAAUUUGACUGAGGCCAGUCGACGAGCAAUGAAAGUGUUCGGAAUAUGGUACUAAAUUACUACAGUAUGUUGCUACUGUGGCAGCAUAGCCCUGGCUUUCUAUUUUAGUAAACACAUGGAUGUCAAACGCUACAUACAGCAAGACCAAAACAUUGACGAGAAGGAACUUCGAAAUUACAUGUUCUAUGCCAUGAUCAUCUUGUACACAUUAUAUUUUAUUGUUAAGGCCAUUAUCUGUCAACGUCACGAGGACAUAAGAAUUUCGCCUACUGCGCUGCUCACGUCGGUACAGCCUGGAAGCACUAGUCACUAACGCCGUUCUGUCCGUGGCAGUCCGAUUUUGGAUAACCAAUGAGAGAAGACCAUUACUCCAUGAAGAUUGCUUCCGGAGUGGUACAUGACUUUUAGAUUCGAGAGAGUCUCGUAACGCUGCGGAUAUACAGCCCCUAGUGCUUUGUUGUCCAGCGUCUACGUGUACUACAAGCAUGGUGAUACAGCAGACCAACCUGGUCCCGCUUAUUACUACAAAGCAGGUCCUGAGCCUUUCGUGGAGAGGGGACAACCGAUUUUGGCUGAAGCAAUGAAGCUUCAACCAGUUCACCCACAGUCCAUGCAGCCCAUGAUGAUCCCACAGGGACACGUCCGACCGCUGGCGUCUGCUCAGCCUCCGAUAUAUGGUCAAGGGGUUGGGCCUACGCAGCAAGGUUUGCGGAUGCCGCAAUAGAUGCUGGGACGAAAGGACUAAUAAGUGUGGCACGUGAUAUCACUUCAAAUAGAUACAUGAGAUGCUAUGAUUAUACUUUCAAAAAUUGG